CUUUAUAAGGCCCAGGGAGACAUCAGAGCUCCAUCAGUCGUCAUGACAGCUUGCAAGUCUCUCCUGCUCCUCUGUAUAGUUCUAGCGGCUGUGGCCGCCAUGGCGCAGCAGUCUGCUGACGCGCCACCACCAGCGGUCCCUGGAGGGGAUGUCGCCAGCAACCAGGAGCCGGUGCAGCCAGUAACGGGCGACGAGGCAUCCGGGGACCAGGCGCUGCAAGACCGCUGGGGAAUAUCCGUGCACUUCCACAGCGGCUGAGCGAAUUGCUGGCAGCACCAAGAAACACAUAUCUCUACCUUAUUUUAAAGUUUUCAGUGUAUUCCACACUUCAGACUUUUAACACUAUUCCUGUUUCCAAAUCAAGAGCGACCUUUCCCUUUUUUCAAAUCUAUAAAAGAACAUUACAAAAAAUAAAUAAAUUUUAGUACUCAAAAAGCA